UUAAAAUUUUAGAUUAAAUCAUGUUAAAAAUGUGGAAAGAAUUUUUCAUUUAUCUACUUUCAUGUUUAUGUCUUAGCUCUGUGUCUUUGAAGAAUUUUCCAAGUUAAUGUACUCCAAUGAUAUUUGCCUUUAGCAGGUAAAUUUAGUUAUUUUUAAUAUAGUAUAAGGAAAGUAAAAAGAUAAAUAGAGACAAGAUGCAGCAGAAAGGUGGUUGCUCAUCCAAGCAGCUGCAUUUAUUUAUACCAAUAGGUUACAUUAGGUCAUUACUGCCACAACUACAUUAUAGUUUAUGGUAUGAGUAAAGUGGCUUAUUCUGCAGUUACAUUCUACAGUUACAAUAUGCAAUGUUAGGAGCUUUGUGCAGCUCUCAAGAAAGUCCAUUGUCUGAAGUUACUGUUAGGUGGGCAGAUCCAGGAUCAGCAAAGCUUAGAGAAACAUUGUGGUUAUCUAGCAAGCAAGUUCCUUUAUUCACAGGAGCUAUGUGCCUGAGAUCAAGGUCAAGGCUGAUAAGACUAUAGAACAGAGCAGGGCAUUGCCAUUACAGCUAGAUGGUUCACAUGUAUUAGUUAUCUUACUAGUUCCUAGUAAAAACUGCAGGACAUUCUAAGGGUAGUAAAAUGGUGUUUGUUACUCCCCAGGAGUUUGCUCACCAGAGGAAUGUUCCUCUAUAAUAUUUCCAUGGUCAGAAUCCCUACAAUAUAGAAAUGGACAGAAUGGGAUGCAAUUGUCCACUAAAAACCCCUGCUCUGUUUCAUAUAUUUCAUGUCCACCUUGAUAAUAUACAUUAGGUGUAAUUUUUUAUUGUUACAAAUGAUUUUUAAAUUACCAAUAAACCAUCAAAGCAGCUUUAUGUACAAAUCAUUCAUAAAUUACUAAGUAAAAUUUUAUAAAGUAUAUACACUUUUGCCUUCAGCUUCUUCUACAUCAAAAUACAAUCUUGUCCAUCUCAAAGAUUCCUCUUUGUGCCUCUACCAUAAUGAUAUUCAACAGGGACCAGUAUGUGACAUUAAAUACCAUAGAUCAUUUUCAUUUUUUGUACUUUCUAUAAAUGAAAAUGAUCAGAUUCAACUCUUUUAUAUUUGACUUAGAAAAUUGUAUUUUCAUUGUACUUUGUAUUUUCACAUUUUGUUGGUAAUAGAAUUCAACUGCAGAAAUAUUAUUUACUUCAUGCCUUCCUCUCUGGACACAUAAGUGAAUUCCUCCCCCCCCAAAAAAAAAAAAAGAAACUUCCAUGUGCUGGAAGAUUUGCAAGGUUUUGGAGGAGGUGGAAACUUUGACGUGUGGAUGCAAGUACAAGGUGGUUGGGUCAUUGGGAGGUCAUGCUUAAAGGGAUAAAUGGUAAUGUCUGGAGUAUAUCAGUUCCCAUGAAAUUGGGCUGUCUUACAGAGAGUUCUGGUGUCUCUGCUGUCUCACUCCCUGUCCUGUCCUGUGGUCUAUUGUGUAUGUGCUCCCAUGAUUGUGAUUUCACCUACUCUUAGUUCCUCAAAGAGUUGAGCAGAUGCUGGCAUCAUACUCUUGAAUCUCCCGAACUGUAGGUCACUAAAUUUCUUUGUCAAGUACUCAGUCUGGGGUAUUUGGUUAUUGCAACAGAAAAAGAUAACAUGACAUGGUCAUUUUUUAGUUUGAAGUAUCAUGAUGAGGACUCACCUGUAGUUUCACAGUGUGUUUUUAAUGAUAAUUGUAAGAGUUUCUGCUGCUAUGUGUGUAAAGGUGAUUGAUUCAUUGAUUAUAGGUUUACAUCUCCUUGGCUUUAGAAUAUACUGACUGAGUUUAUCAAAUGUCUGUAUGAGUUUCAACCAAGUAGAAGCUCUUAUUUUAAUAGAAAUACUUUUAUAUGUCUUUAUUUAAUGUUAAUAACAUAGGUUCUGUUAAACAUAGAUGCAUAUACUAAGACAUAUAUGCAUAGGGAGGUGGUUCCCUUCAUUUUCUUCAAGGACAUCAAUUAAUAACUUAAAAAUUUACAUCAGAAAACCAUUCAGAAUCAGCUUUUUAUAUGUGUUGGUAGUUAUUUAAGUCUUUUUAAAAAGUAAACAAUAAAUUUCAAUGUUUUCUGAAAAUGUACAGUAGAUACUUUUUCUCUCAUUUAUCAUCAUAUAUUCUAUAUUUUAAAACAUCUGGGAAAAUAUUUUGAGAAGUUUUGCCCUAAGACAUGGUAGCUAUUUGAGAGACAAGUAUGCCUAACCUGAUUUGAAGAUUGCUAAUGUGCACAUUGUAUUCAAAUAUCUUGUGAUACCCUAUGAAUAUGUACAAUUUUUAGUAUCAUUUAAUAAUAAAUACCUUUGGCUGGCCAGAGUGGUGCAUGCCUAUAAUCCCAGUGGCUUGGGAGGCUGAGCUAGAAGGAUGAAAGUUUAAGACUAGUCUCAGAAAAUAAGUGAAGCACUAAGAAACUUAGCUAGAGCCUGUCUACAAAUAAAAAGGCCUGCAGAUGUGGAUCAGUAGUGAACAGCUCCUGGGUCAAUCCUUGCUACCAGUAAUAACAAUAGUAAAUUAAUCAAUUAAAACUUUCCUUUUGUUUCAUAGUGUCAUUGGCUCACAUACUUACUGUCUUCAAUUCCAGCAGUAAUGUAAAAAGAACCUCUCAUACCUUAUAUCUCUGACUGUGUCCUCUGCUGCAUCUCUGUAUUCUGCUUUGAGGGCCCAUGUAAAUAGAGUAGGACAAUCAGAUACCAGUGUGUACACCAGUGUAUAAGAGAAAAAUAUCUCCCCCUCUAUGAUCUGCCAAUCAGCAGUCUUAGCAUCAUCUUUAAACCCCAGUUAACCCAAUGUAACCUCAGGAGUGAUGGCAAGAGCAUUCUCCAAGUCGUCUUGGAACAACCCUGUUCACAGUCCCACGUUAUCCCUUGUAGUUCUCAGGACAACUGCAAAAUAUACUGAGAAGGUAACACCAUAAGCUAGGAAGAAACUAAGUGGAACAACAUAAUUUCUAUUCCAGUUUUCCUAGAAUCAGUAUGUCCUUUAAUGAUUUAGAGAGUGUUGUGGUUCUAGGGCACAAAACCCAAGGUGGACAUCUUCCUGGGGUCCUUAAGCUUUAGUGUAAGUGGACCAUAUUUGGAUGAAACUGAAUCCUCUGUGUGGAGCCUUCAUGACUGCCAGGGACAAGCUUGGAAUGAAUCCAAAGCUUCUGCAUGCCCUUGCUCCCUGUCCAGCUGUGGAUCAAGCACAGGGCCAGGCACAAGUAUGGCAAGCCUUUCACCGCUGAGCCACACUUGGAGUGAAUCUGAUCUCUAGUCCUGAUUAGUUGUCUGUUUAUGAAAGGUCAUCUAAUGCCACAUUUUUUUUUUUUUAUUUUUAGUGUGUCUAUUUCUUAUGGUUGAAAUAAAACUUUGUCACAUCCUAGUGGCAUUUUGUGGUGGUGA